AACGAACGCUGGCGGCAUGCCUAACACAUGCAAGUCGAACGAGACCUUCGGGUCUAGUGGCGCACGGGUGCGUAACGCGUGGGAACCUGCACUUAGGUUCGGAAUAACUCCCCGAAAGGGGUGCUAAUACCGGAUAAUGUCUUCGGACCAAAGAUUUAUCGCCUUUGGAUGGGCCCGCGUUGGAUUAGCUAGUUGGUAGGGUAAAAGACUACCAAGGCGACGAUCCAUAGCUGGUCUGAGAGGAUGAUCAGCCACACCUGGACUGAGACACGGCCCAGACUCCUACGGGAGGGAGGAAUGGGGGAUGUUGGACCACGGGCGGAAGCCUGAUCCCGCAAUGCCGCUUGAAUUAUGAAAGCCUUAAGGUUGUAAAGCUUUUUUAACCCGGAUGGUCAUGACCGUACCUGGAGAAUAAGCCCCGGCUAACUCCGUG
rnacentral:rRNA from 1 species